UGGGGUCUGUCAGCAAAGGUGCUGUGUACUAGUGAAGGCGACCGCGGCGAGGUGUGGUACGAAGCAGCCUGGAACACCAGCCAAUCGCGAUCAAUUGUGCUUCAAAGCAGUCUGGUCCCAACGUGAAAGGAUCGACUUCUGCAUCUGACACAGGGCCUGACCUCGGGCAAGUCAAGACAACUCCCGUGUCGAGUGUACUGACAGACUGUUAGAGCGGGGCCUCUAACACUAGUGAGUGCAUUGGGCGUGGUGAUGACACUGAAACACGUGGUGAUGACACUGUGUCAAACUUUUGAGGAAGAUUACAAACGUAGUUGAUUGAGCUGUGUUGACUGCCUUGAUACUGCUUUUCUUUGUUCUCACUAUACGCGGACUCGAAUGCCUCACAAAGCUGUCAGUUGUGAUUAUUGUUAAAUAAAUAAAUUUCAGUCAGCAAGC